ncrna:unclassified sequences pemK RNA
AUCAUGAUACUUCCGUCCAGCCAUAGAUACAAGCAAUGGGGGCGGCCGGGUGAGAUCCACGCGGGGGUGAGAUUCCCAUGA